rnacentral:rRNA from 1 species
AAGCCGGUCUCAGUUCGGAUCGGGGUCUGCAACUCGACCCCGUGAAGUCGGAGUCGCUAGUAAUCGCAGAUCAGCAACGCUGCGGUGAAUACGUUCCCGGGCCUUGUACACACCGCCCGUCACGUCAUGAAAGUCGGUAACACCCGAAGCCAGUGGCCUAACCCUCGGGAGGGAGCUGUCGAAGGUGGGAUCGGCGAUUGGGACGAAGUCGUAACAAGGUAGCCGUACCGGAA